GGACGCAGUCCCAGUCAGGAGAUAGCGUGGACAUGAAGGCUCCCACUCAGCUCCUGGGUCUCCUGCUGCUCUGGCUCCCAGGAGCCAGUUCUGAAAUCCAGAUGACCCAGACCCCAUCCUCGUUGUCUGCAUCUCCAGGAGACAGAGUCACCAUCACCUGCCGGGCCAGUCAGAAUGCUAACAAGUGGUUAAUCUGGUAUCAGCAGAAGCCAGGGAGAGCUCCUAAGCUCCUGAUCUAUGAAGCAUCCAAGUUGGGAACUGGGGUCCCAUCACGGUUCAGCGGUAGUGGGUCUGGGACAGACUUCACCCUCACUAUCAGCAGCCUGGAGCCUGAAGAUGCUGGGACCUAUUACUGCCAACAGCACAACAGCUACCCGACCACAGCGUUACAGGUCAGAACAUAAACCACCAGGGAAGCAGAUGUGAGGGGCUGGGCUGUCCCCGCUGCUCCUCUGAUGCCUGCACCUGCUCAGACAGUUUCUCAGAGGCAGCACCCCUUCGGAGGUCACUGGAGGCUUUGGGAGAAGGGCAAAGAGGCUCCUUGGCCCCCUGACUGACUCCUUUUCCCCCAGAUCAUUGCACCUGAGGAUUGUGGGUGAUGGCAUCAGCCAGGGUCCUCAGAGCAAAAGAGAAGCCUCUCUAGGUAUUCCAAGCAGGAAUGUUUCAAAUUCAUAGAAUUCCAUCCUGAACCAUAACCUUUUAAAAUGCUUCAAAGUCUAGGGAGUAUGACAAUAAGGAAAACAGAUGAUAGAAAUGUGCGACUCCCUGGUGCUCCCCCAGCAGCCAGAGCACAUCGCCACUGAGAGUACAGGCUGCCGAACCAUGUGGUCCUCGGGCCUGUUGGAAAGCCCGAGAAUGCUCUAGCCUCUGCAGCCCUCACCUGGUGGUUCUCCCGUCCUCACCUUGUUCACUUUGCCUGUAGCUGCUGACAGGGAGUAUCAAAUCCUCCUUUUCCAACCUCCAAAUUCCAGUGAAGCUGCCUUGUUGAACACCUCGAAAGAAGCUAUAGAGAAAAAAAAAAAGGAAAGAGGUGCUUCCAGAAGGGAUGGCAAUGACGGGUAGCUGACAGCAGGCAGCCCAGGAUGGUCAGGACUUCACGACUCUGAGAGCCCUUCUGGCUAGAGGAUGGACCCACAAUACACUUGAAUGUGCUUCCAUGUAUUAUCAGCAAGUGUGGGAUCGUA